CACGUAGGAGGCGAGCGUUGUCCGGAAUCAUUGGGCGUAAAGAGCGUGUAGGCGGCCCGGUAAGUCCGCUGUAAAAGUCAACGGCUCAACUGUUGAAAGCCGGUGGAUACUGUCGGGCUAGAGUACGGAAGAGGCAAGUGGAAUUCCUGGUGUAGCGGUGGAAUGCGCAGAUAUCAGGAGGAACACCCAUAGCGAAGGCAGCUUGCUGGGACGUUACUGACGCUAAGGCGCGAAAGCGUGGGGAGCGAACAGG
rnacentral:rRNA from 1 species